rnacentral:rRNA from 1 species
ACUGCGUUCGACCUUCACUCUUCACACGCGGAACCAUUGGGGCUGUGGAAACCUCCUUGAUUGGUGGUAGAAGCGCUUCCGCAUUCAACACAUGCAUAUGCCCCUGUCCGUGGAGGUUACUGUGAACAAAACAGCGUGUCCAAAGCAACCACAUGUCUGGCUGAAUGAUCUAGCAUGGAAUAACAAGGCAUCGACCACUGGAGUCAGCCUUUUUGUUGGUUUUACAUGACCCAGUUGGGCAAUGCAGGGCUUGUGCUUCAUUGAGGUUCUUAGUCAGCUCUACCGAACUGUCUUCCCUCAGUUGGACCUUGUUCCCUAUCGGGAUCAAUGGAAGCCAUCGGGGUGGUAUGUAUUCCGACGUGAGCGGUGAAAUGCUUAGACCGUUGGAAGACAAACGACAGCGAAGGCAUUCCGCCAGAAUGUUUUCAUUAAUCAAGAACGAGAGUGUGGGGAUCGAAGAUAAUCAGAUACCAUCGUAGUCCAUUACCGUAAACUAUGCCAACUCGGCAUUGGGAGUCUGUUCACUUUGAAGACUCUCCCAGCAUCAUCCCCCAAUAACGAGAAAUCCAAGUCUAUGGGUUCAGGGGGGAGUACAGUCGCAAGGCUGAAACUUAAAGGAAUUGACGGAAUGACACCACAAGGCGUGGAGUAUGCGGCUUAAUUUGACCCAACACGGGGAAGCUUACCAGGUCAGACACAGUAAGGACUGACAGAUUGAGAGCUCUUUCUUGAUCCUAUGGAUGGUGGUGCAUGGCCGUUUCUGGUUCGUGGAGUGAUCUGUCUGCUUAAUUGCGAUAACGAACGAGAUCUCUACCUCUAAAUAGGCGCCGGUCUCGCAUGUAAGUAGGGAUGUGUUGGGGGCCUUCGUGUCCCCUCAUGUCCUGAGAGUGCCGGGAUCGCUUCUUAGACGGACUGUGCAUGUCUUUAAUGCACGGAAGAGGGAGUCAAUAGCAGGUCUGUGAUGCUCCUAGAUGUUCUGGGCUGCACGCGCACUACACUGGCACAGUAAACGAGUUGCACCUGCUUCGGCAGUCCUGCUUAGAAGUGAGCGUGGGAAAUCUUAGAAAACUGUGCCGUGCUGGGGAUAGAUGAUUGCGAUUAUUUGUCUUGAACGAGGAAUGCCUAGUAGAGGUACUUCAUCAGAGUACCUUGAUUGUGUCCCUGCCAUUUGUACACACCGCCCGUCGUUGCUACCGAUUGGCUGUAAAAUAGAGGCCUUAAGAGUCGCUUCCGCAAAGCUUUGCUUUUGAGGUUGUGACAAAUCUGGCCAAUAUUUCAUUGCUAGAGGAAGCAAAAGUCGUAACAAGG